rnacentral:rRNA from 1 species
GACGAACGCUGGCGGCGUGCCUAAUACAUGCCAGUCGAACGCUUCUUUCCUCCCGAGUGCUUGCACUCAAUUGGAAAGAGGAGUGGCGGACGGGUGAGUAACACGUGGGUAACCUACCCAUCAGAGGGGGAUAACACUUGGAAACAGGUGCUAAUACCGCAUAACAGUUUAUGCCGCAUGGCAUAAGAGUGAAAGGCGCUUUCGGGUGUCGCUGAUGGAUGGACCCGCGGUGCAUUAGCUAGUUGGUGAGGUAACGGCUCACCAAGGCCACGAUGCAUAGCCGACCUGCGAGGGGGAUCGGCCACACUGGGGCUGAGACACGGCCCAGACUCCUACGGGAGGCAGCAGUAGGGAAUCUUCGGCAAUGGACGAAAGUCUGACCGAGCAACGCCGCGUGAGUGAAGAAGGUUUUCGGAUCGUAAAACUCUGUUGUUAGAGAAGAACAAGGACGUUAGUAACUGAACGUCCCCUGACGGUAUCUAACCAGAAAGCCACGGCUAACUACGUG